rnacentral:SRP_RNA from 1 species
GCUGGGCAUGGUGGCGCGUGCCUGUAGUCUCAGCUACUCGGGAGGCUGAGGCAGGAGAAUCGCUUGAACCCGGGAGGUGGAGGUUGCAGUGAGGAGAGAUUGCAUCACUGCCCUUCAGCCUGGGCAACAGAGCAAGACCCUGUCUCAA